GGGCUCGUAGCUCAGCGGUAGAGCGCUCGCUUUGCAAGCGAGAGGUCUCGGGUUCGAUUCCCGACGAGUCCA
rnacentral:tRNA from 1 species